GGAAUUGAGUUCCCAAGUCCCGCGACAGCUUUCGGGUUGCUUUGGAGCGGAGUCCGCAAACAAACUCGCUUUCCCAGCAAACCUACAGACGGGUCGACGCGUGCGUAAUCAGAGCUCUUUCUUUCGUGUUUCCCGGUUGACUCAACUUUGAUAUUUUGGUAACCGAUUGGCUGACAGGUUCAGCCGGCCGGGUAACGUCAGCAGGGAAACGUGGCAGCUUGGGCGAGCCGUUUGAUUUCUGCAAGACCAGUAUGGGGAGAAGGCGGGGCAGCAGCGAAGGGAAAAGCGACGCCAAGCUGUUUUGUGGGCGGAGCGAUCGCGUGGAAUUGGAAUUUGAACUGAGGUUAGACGUAGCAAUUAGAACACAGUUUGUUUUUUUUUAAAAGUGCUCCGUGGACAGAGUUUCGAGUCCAACGACGCUGUAAAGGGAAAGUAUUCACCUUCAAAACGUUGUGUAAAUACUGCCAGCAGAUUUUUUUUCACGCCAGCACAUCAUCUAGUCCACUCCAGCAUACUCUUGCAUUUCCAUGUACCUGUAUAUUCAGACACUGCUGUGCACUGACACCACUUCUGUUUACACUGGUCAUGGAUAUCAUCACGCAUGACCUGCAGCAGAAAACACCCUGGACUAUGCUCUAUGCUGAUGAUGUUAUGCUCGCAUCCAACAAGUCCAAAUAUGGAAUAAUUGCCUAACCAUUGCAACUCUGCCUCAACAUCAAGAAAACUGAGUACUUAGAGACUGUUACCACCCCUGGAAAGCUUCAACUCAGUGGAGAAUUUUGGUGUGGUACCAAUUACACAGAAGAUGAGAGAAAGCUGGCUCCGCUGAUAUGGACAUGUCCAGAGAGCAGCACCUUCCACCGUUGCCAAGACAGCCUACCAACUAGAAGUCAACGACUGGCGACCUUGCAAGC